CCCUAAUCAGUGGCGGCUGCGCCUCUAAAACCCUAAUCAGUGGACCUAAAUUUGAAGAUCUCCCUCUAUGUGGAUUCAAUAUUUAGAGGAUUCAUCAUUGUCUAAAUACUAAAUGAUGAUUCCUCUAUACCAAAUCCAACUUAGUGGUUUAGCAUAGGGUAUAGAGGAGGUUUUAGUCUCGGUAUAAUGUGGUUGGUUUACAACGAAGCUCACGGAAUCGGACGGAUACUGCGCCGUCAUAUGUCUCCAACAGAACUGAAUUUCUAUACGGAAAAAUAGAAGAGAUGGUAUCAUCAUAAAGUAAUGCAACGGGAUGGAAACUCAAAAGGUAUUGUGGUUGGUUUACAACGAAGCUCACGGAAUCGGACGGAUACUGCGCCGUCAUAUGUCUCCAACAGAACUGGUAAACUGGUAUAUCCUUAUUUUGAUUUUGUUCAUUCUUAUGUAUGCAUAACAUGGAUUGUGUUAGCAUUGAUUGUUCAAUUCCUCUUCCCCAUUACUAUGGGUGUAAGGAGGUCUCUAAUCAACUGCUUAUAUGAAAGUCUGGAGAAUGGUUGGCCCCUCGAGUUUGUUUAUGCCGUUGGGGUUUUCAAAAUUACUCCUACAAACCAUCAAUUAUGACACUAUAACUUGCAUCCAUAUCCCAAUUGCCCUGUUGUCAACUUGUGAUUUACUGCCACAAUUCCUUUUAUUUUAACAAGUUUAUGUAAAUUCCAUAGAGUUAGCAAUCUAUUUACUCCACUGCAUUUCAUUUUUGAGUUGAAGCUGUUCCUCGGCAGUGCUAAUAUGAAAUGAUAUGACUCUAGCAUUGCUUAAUUCUCUCCUUCCUGUACGUAUGGAUGGAAGAGGAUACUCAUCGAUGCUUACAUUGAAUUUGAAGUUUGUCAGGCUCCUUUGAAAACUUUUUAUGAUAGAGGAGUUUGGAAAAUACUCCUAUAUAUAUACCUCAUUAUGUCAGAUACUGUAAGCAUAGUUUUAAGAAGAAUUAGCCUAAUUAGCCGCCCACCCAAUUGCUUAAACCAAAAAAUAGCCGGCAUAUGUAUAAUAUAUGCAUAGUCCGUAUAUAAUAUAUGUAUAAUCAAUGUAUAAUAUAUAUAUAUAUAUAUACACAUAUUGGCUAAGAAAAAGUAAACAAUGAAUUUUAUCGGCUAUGUGUGUAAAAAUCCCUAUUUUUAAUCUAUAUGAGUAUUUGUAGCAGACAAUCAAGCUGAAGCUAUUCGGUUAAUGAAAAGUUUAACUGAAAUGUGGUUGUAUUUUGUGGAAAUCUUAUAAGGGGAAUUGGGAUCUUGAAAAUUGGAAGAGCAUUUUUAUGAGUUAAGGAUUUAGUUAAAGACUAGUUUAUGGUUCUGUUUGUCCAUGAAAUAUGUUAUUCAUUUUUGGCUCUGAUUGACUUCCUUUAGGCUAUAUAAUAGUAGAAACUUUCUUUUUAUUUCUAAUGACUUGCCAACUUUAAUCCACCAGUUUAAUACAAUUAACAUUUAGAUGAUCAUCAAUUGUAAUGCUGCUAAACCAAAAUGUACAAAUGUUUUCUCUAAACUGAAAUCUUUUAAUUUUUUUCUGAAGAAAAAAAUGUAGUUUAAUUUUUGUUUGGAUGAGAUUAUUUUUUCAUCAAAAAAUAGUGAUGGAUCCACUUUCUUAUGUAUGCAUAAGUUGUACUGUGGUUGGUGCUUCUUUGUACCUAUAAGUCAGCAUUGAUUAUUCCUCUUUCCAUCUCUAUGGUUGUAUAGAGAUCUCAAAUCAAUGCACAUAAUAAAGUUUGGAGAAUGGUUGGCCCCUCGAAUUGUUUUAUGGCUUGGGGUUUUCAAAAUUUCUCAUACAAAUUAUCCUCAAUGACUCUGUAACUUGCAUCCAGCCAGCUCUACAAUUGCCCUAUUAUCACUUGUGAUUCACUGCCACACAAUUUUGUUUUUUUAUGCCGAAACAAAAAUCUUUUAUAUAUUAUUCUGAAUGGAAAAUUAAUUGAUUUGGGCUAGCAUGCAAUAGUUGCUCAAGCUAGUUCCCUCAAAUGAGCUAGUUAUAAUCGGUUGCAUUCUAUUUUUGCUUGUUUGUUGUUUGAUCUAGCUGUUAUUGAGUUUCCAUCUCUGUCCGAGUACAGGCAGAUAAUAUCAAGUCUCUUUACAGAUGCAUGAAUCUUAACUACUCAUACUUUUUUUUUUGAAAAUUGCUUGGCCGCUGGUAUCUUGCUAAGUUUCGUUAUGUUUGCAGGGUAUCGGGUGAACAGUACCUGCAACUGCACGCGAGGUGCAGUGAGUAAAUUGAGUACUUCCAACUCAGUGGUAAUAAGAGCGAAUAAUACCUGAGCGAUAAGAAAACACGUAUGAGCAUUCCAAAAUGCUAUAAAAGACUGAGCAACCCUUAGAAAAAAAUUAGUAAAAUCGUGAUGCUAUGAAAAUCCUUUAGAAAAUCUCAAGCUCAUUUAAAAACCUCUUUUGAAAAUAUGCCUUUUCAACAGUUGCAAAAAUAUUUUCAACAAAUUGGAAAUAAUUAGAAAUCUGCCCCUCGAGUUCAGUAUCAACCUCUUACUACAGUAUCAGUCUUGCGGGCUCACUCCCAACUAACAAGGUACAAAAUCAGCUUUUCGGGCUUAGCACUCAUUAACACGUAACACUAGAGUAGCUGGUCAACAAUGCAAGUAGUAGCAUGUGCGCCAACACGUAAUGUAAACAGAAAUGAACGCAAUGCAAUAUACAUGACUGCUGCGGCGCACAACUCGAUCUAUUUGGGUACCUUGCGCUUAUUGGGGGUGUGUAUAGCCUCCAGAGGGUCUCCUACAACCCAAGUGUUAUACUGCUGUGGCGUGCAGUUCGAUCCAUAUAAUAUACUAGUACGGCGUGCAGGCCUAUCCAUAUAAUAUACAACUGCAGCGUGCAGUUCGAUCCAUGCAUGCAUAUUUAUAUACUGCUGUGGCG
rnacentral:lncRNA from 1 species